CUGCUAUGAUGACCAUCUUAGGACACCUUUGGAUUAAAGAUGAAACUAAUCUUUGUUGGCUGAGCAGC